rnacentral:rRNA from 1 species
AUGGGGGGGGGGUGCCUAUACAUGCAAGUCGACGAGUUCUGAUUAUUGAAAGGUGCUUGCAUCUUGAUUUAAUUUUGAACGAGUGGCGGACGGGUGAGUAACACGUGGGUAACCUGCCCUUAAGUGGGGGAUAACAUUUGGAAACAGAUGCUAAUACCGCAUAAAUCCAAGAACCGCAUGGUUCUUGGCUGAAAGAUGGCGUAAGCUAUCGCUUUUGGAUGGACCCGCGGCGUAUUAGCUAGUUGGUGAGGUAACGGCUCACCAAGGCAAUGAUACGUAGCCGAACUGAGAGGUUGAUCGGCCACAUUGGGACUGAGACACGGCCCAAACUCCUACGGGAGGCAGCAGUAGGGAAUCUUCCACAAUGGACGCAAGUCUGAUGGAGCAACGCCGCGUGAGUGAAGAAGGCUUUCGGGUCGUAAAACUCUGUUGUUGGAGAAGAAUGGUCGGCAGAGUAACUGUUGUCGGCGUGACGGUAUCCAACCAGAAAGCCACGGCUAACUACGUGCCAGCAGCCGCGGUAAUACGUAGGUGGCAAGCGUUAUCCGGAUUUAUUGGGCGUAAAGCGAGCGCAGGCGGUUUUUUAAGUCUGAUGUGAAAGCCCUCGGCUUAACCGAGGAAGUGCAUCGGAAACUGGGAAACUUGAGUGCAGAAGAGGACAGUGGAACUCCAUGUGUAGCGGUGAAAUGCGUAGAUAUAUGGAAGAACACCAGUGGCGAAGGCGGCUGUCUGGUCUGUAACUGACGCUGAGGCUCGAAAGCAUGGGUAGCGAACAGGAUUAGAUACCCUGGUAGUCCAUGCCGUAAACGAUGAAUGCUAGGUGUUGGAGGGUUUCCGCCCUUCAGUGCCGCAGCUAACGCAUUAAGCAUUCCGCCUGGGGAGUACGACCGCAAGGUUGAAACUCAAAGGAAUUGACGGGGGCCCGCACAAGCGGUGGAGCAUGUGGUUUAAUUCGAAGCAACGCGAAGAACCUUACCAGGUCUUGACAUCUUUUGAUCACCUGAGAGAUCAGGUUUCCCCUUCGGGGGCAAAAUGACAGGUGGUGCAUGGUUGUCGUCAGCUCGUGUCGUGAGAUGUUGGGUUAAGUCCCGCAACGAGCGCAACCCUUAUGACUAGUUGCCAGCAUUUAGUUGGGCACUCUAGUAAGACUGCCGGUGACAAACCGGAGGAAGGUGGGGAUGACGUCAAAUCAUCAUGCCCCUUAUGACCUGGGCUACACACGUGCUACAAUGGAUGGUACAACGAGUUGCGAGACCGCGAGGUCAAGCUAAUCUCUUAAAGCCAUUCUCAGUUCGGACUGUAGGCUGCAACUCGCCUACACGAAGUCGGAAUCGCUAGUAAUCGCGGAUCAGCACGCCGCGGUGAAUACGUUCCCGGGCCUUGUACACACCGCCCGUCACACCAUGAGAGUUUGUAACACCCGAAGCCGGUGGCGUAACCCUUUUAGGGAGCGAGCCGUCUAAAAGGGACCAG